rnacentral:rRNA from 1 species
AUGUGGCGUCAUCAAGGAAUCCAAAUACCUGAGCAAGCAGCCUCCAAACUAGCGACACUAGAAUCUAAUGAUAGUCAAUCAAACAUCAUUAGAGCAGCAAGGAAGGAAGCUAGGCGGAAAAGGAAAGAGAUCCUCCAGCUGAAAAAGAGCAAACGACUAAGGACAGAAAAGGACAAUGGCUGUGCAGUAUCUAAUGUAGCGAAGGAUGUCACUCAAGUUUCAUAUUUGGGAAAACUAAAUUGUGUUUGUGAAUUUUGCAAUGCCAUUAUGUGGCAUGGAGAGAGAAGCACAAACACAGGUAACAUCACAGUUCCAAAAUUUGGUCUCUGCUGCAAGGAAGGGAAAGUUAAAUUACCAUCACUGAACCAAGCUCCGUUGUAUCUCCGACAGCUACUAUGUUACAAUGAAAGAGGAGAAUCAUCAAAUUUCCGCCAGAACAUCAGGUCGUACAACUCGAUGUUUGCAUUCACAUCAAUGGGAGGAAAGGUUGACUGA